GACGAACGCUGGCGGCGUGCUUAACACAUGCAAGUCGAACGAAGUGGCGGACGGGUGAGUAACGCGUAAUCAACCUGCCCUUCAGGGGGGAACACCAGUUGGAAACGACUGCUAAUACCGCAUACUGAAUGAGGGGAUUGCGGCGGAUUAGCUAGUUGGAGGGGUAACGGCCCACCAAGGCGAAGAUCAGUAGGCGGGUUGGGAGGAGUGACCGGCACAAUGGGAAUGAGACACCGGCCAGACUUCUACGGGGGGCAGCAGUGGGGGAACUUCGGAAAUGGAGGAAAGUCUGAAGGAGCAACGGCGGGUGAGUGAUGACGGGCUUCGGGUUGUAAAGCUCUGUUAAGCGGGACGCGGUACCGGAAGAGAAAGCAACGGCUAACUACGUGCCAGCAGCCGCGGUAAUUC
rnacentral:rRNA from 1 species